ACGGGAGGCAGCAGUGAGGAAUAUUGGUCAAUGGACGGAAGUCUGAACCAGCCAUCUCGCGUGCAGGAUUACAGCCCUAUGGGUUUUAAACUGCUUUUAUAAAGGGAUAAAGUCAGUUACGUGUAACUGUUUGUAGGUACUUUAUGAAUAAGGAUCGGCUAACUCCGUGCCAGCAGCCGCGGUAAUACGGAGGAUCCAAGCGUUAUCCGGAUUUAUUGGGUUUAAAGGGUGCGCAGGCGGCAUGUUAAGUCAGCGGUGAAAUGUCAAGGCUCAACCUUGGCACUGCCAUUGAAACUGGCAAGCUUGAGUACGGAUGAAGUAGGCGGAAUGUGACAUGUAGCGGUGAAAUGCAUAGAUAUGUCACAGAACACCGAUUGCGAAGGCAGCUUACUAAUCCGCAACUGACGCUCAGGCACGAAAGCGUGGGGAUCGAACAGGAUUAGAUACCCUGGUA
rnacentral:rRNA from 1 species